GUCUUUUUAGUAUAAAAAGUAUAUUUGGCUUCCAACCAGAAAGUCUAGAACAAUCUAGAAAAGACA
rnacentral:tRNA from 1 species